rnacentral:misc_RNA from 1 species
AUUUGCCUGCACAGUUGGACAAAAACCAAGCAAGGCUAAAUAUUAUUUGGACGACACUUCAGAGGUUAGAUUUAUGCUUGAGUCUCUUGCUGAAGCUACUAUUACUCCAUGUACUUCCGAUGAAGAAGCUGAGGACUCGGCUUGAAUUAGCUGAUGCAUGCCUUGGUUUGUUUGGUUUCCUUCCUACUGCAUGUAUAUUUCCAGGUUGGGCCAGUGACUUCAUCUCUUUGAUAGUUAGUUUUAGGUUUUAAGAUAACGGAAUUAUAAUCCGCUCAAUUAUUCUUUCCUUUUGACAUUGAUCCAUUCUUUUACCCCUUCCCUGGAAGUACUUUGUGU